rnacentral:rRNA from 1 species
UACAGAGGGGGCAAGCGUUAUUCGGAAUUAUUGGGCGUAAAGGGCGCGUAGGCGGCUUUGCAAGUGGCGGGUGAAAUCCCCCGGCUUAACCUGGGAACUGCGUCUGAUACUGGACGGCUUGAGUAUGGGAGAGGGAUGUAGAAUUCCAGGUGUAGCGGUGAAAUGCGUAGAUAUCUGGAGGAAUACCGGUGGCGAAGGCGGCAUCCUGGACCAUUACUGACGCUGAGGCGCGAAAGCUAGGGGAGCAAACGGG